CCAUUUCCCCGAACCAUCGCUUGGAUGAUGAAGCACAUCGCAGAGUACUGCUUCAUCACCAUUCAGGAAUUGUACCCUUUUAAAUUUCUAUAUGGGUAUGCGCUGCUUUUGACACAGCUUUUGUUGUAAGCAGGCACUAAAAUAGAAGCUUAUAAUUAGCUAUCUGGGGAGGCAAGUGUGUGGUAGAACAGAGCUCAGCAAGAGAAAAGUCAAGGCAGGUCCUGGGGAAACACUGCAUGGAAGAUGAGUAAUACAGAGCCCAAGAGUGGAUUGGCAGGAAGGGUGCAGGACCUAACCCAAUGACAAUGCUCGCAGGAGGAGCCCUCCAGAAGGCAACAGCUCCAAACCUCUUGGUACAAAGGAACUCUCUACGUUUAGUUCUCUCGACAACUACCUACUAUAAGAUGAAGUUUCCAGGAACUCAUGUGAUCAUGAGACUCUGCAGUCACUUCAGGGGGUCUUGUUGACUGGCUCGGGGGGCUGGUGUCAAGCCCAAGCAGAAGAGCCCUCAGAGCAAGCAGCCCUGCUUCUGUGGAUGCUGGAUGGCAUCAUCACCAGGCGGGUCCUUCAGAGUACUGGGAGCAGCAUGCAGCCCGAUAGAGUUGGCAAACGUGAAUCUACUAGAAGAUUGACAUGGAGAUCGACAACAGGAUGGUGGACCUCAUGGCCCACACGGCCUCUAAGGAAUAAGACCCCCAGACCACUAGCCCCAGCAAAAACACAAGAGGAAGAGAGAGGCCCUCAGCUGCUGGUGAGUCCCUGACGUGUCCAGUUCCCUGCCACACUGAGAAUCUCCCCUCCCCGCAAUUUCCAUGCAGACCCCCUGAAAAGGGAAGGGCCUUGGAAGCCCCACCUUGUCAUCUACCAUCAAUAAAGUCCCCUAUGCUCAGCC
ensembl:lncRNA LINC01588 long intergenic non-protein coding RNA 1588